UGGGGAAUAUUGCACAAUGGAGGGAACUCUGAUGCAGCGACGCCGCGUGAACGAAGAAGGCUUUCGAGUCGUAAAGUUCUUUUAUAUGGGAAGAUAAUGACGGUACCAUAAGAAAAAGCCCCGGCUAACUACGUGCCAGCAGCCGCGGUAAUAUGUAGGGGGCUAGCGUUGUCCGGAAUCACUGGGCGUAAAGGGUUCGCAGGCGGAAAUGCAAGUCAGGUGUAAAAGGCAGUAGCUUAACUACUGUAAGCAUUUGAAACUGCAUAUCUUGAGAAGAGUAGAGGUAAGUGGAAUUUUUAGUGUAGCGGUGAAAUGCGUAGAUAUUAAAAAGAAUACCGGUGGCGAAGGCGGCUUACUGGGCUCAUUCUGACGCUGAGGAACGAAAGCGUGGGUAGCAAACAGG
rnacentral:rRNA from 1 species